UUGGCGGACGGGUGAGUAACGCGUGGAAAACCUGCCGUAUACUGGGGAUAACACUUAGAAAUAGGUGCUAAUACCGCAUAAGCGCACAGCUUCGCAUGAAGCGGUGUGAAAAACUCUGGUGGUAUACGAUGGUUCCGCGUCUGAUUAGCUAGUUGGUGGGGUAAUGGCCUACCAAGGCAACGAUCAGUAGCCGGCCUGAGAGGGUGAACGGCCACAUUGGGACUGAGACACGGCCCAAACUCCUACGGAAGGCAGCAG
rnacentral:rRNA from 1 species